rnacentral:lncRNA from 1 species
GUGGUUUCUACCAAUUGACCUUGUGUGGGAGACGAACCUCAUUAGUCAGGCUGGCCGAAGGUCUUGUCGUCUCUUAAUCAUCUUUGAUCGCCUCUGCUGCCUUCUUGGUUUUCAGUGGCUCCCAUUACUUGAGGGUGUGCCAAGACGUGAGUGUCCUAGAGGGAAGGACUGCAGUCGGCACCUAGAUGUAGGCGGGACUGCUGGGCAACAGCUGGGAAGUUCUUUGCAAUCCAGGAGUGCAAGCCCUGUUGCCUAUCAAAGCCAGGUGAUGCAGGGACCCAGCCUUUGGGUGGCAGCUGCAAAAGAUAAGGAUUCCCAAGAAUCAUUUGCUGAGAGACUGUUUAUACGUGACCCUCUCUGCCCCUUCCCUCCCCCAGCGCUGUCAGUCCCACUGGAAGAGGAGCUUCCCUUCUCCGAGCCACUGCUGAGGUGGGUGCACAGCCACUGCAUUUUCUCCUGCUUAAGAACAGUCUCUACACUUGAUAAAUCCAUCCGGUUGAGCAGUUCCCCCUGCCCCAACUCUUUCUCCUCUGUGUGCUGCUGUAGUAAUCCGGAGGCCAAACCCAAGGACUUUCUCAGACCCGCUACCCCUCCCCAAAUCCUGCAUGCUAAUGUUGUGAGAAAUUGUACCCCCUCUAGACCUGAGCACAUGGAUCUGUCCUGUUUCCACCAACACUGCUCUCAGUUUCAAGAGUCUACUAAACCCCAGUUAGUUACACAUGACAUUCGCUUGACGUUUGACAGUCCUCAAAAUAUAAAUGAUUUGUUCUGUAGAAUGGAAGCAUCUACUUCUAAGCCACUAAUAACUGCACACUGGUAUUGCAAAUAG